UACGAAAAGGCGAAGAAAAUAAUGGAAGAUAUAAUUCUAGAUUUUCAUAAGAACUCAAAUAUGGGUGUCAUGAUUGAGGUAGAUUGUUCUUGUACUCUUUUCUUUUUAGUUUGUGUUUUUCAUGCUGGUGUGAAUUCAUCCUUACCUUUCUCUUCACUUUUUGGUUGUUUCUAUCUAUUUGUAUUUUCACAUGCUCGUUCAUGAUAUCUAGUACAUUAUUUGUUAUGUAAACCCGCUUAGUUUAUUUUCUGGUCAUCUAUCUUCUAAUUGACAAGGUUAGAUAACUAUUUAACUUUCCUAUUACUGAAGGCUCGUGACAAUGUUGUGAACUAACUGAUCGAAGUAUCUCUUCAGUUGUAAAUAUUUACCUUCUCAAAGAAAUGCUCUCUUUAAUUGUUUUCCACUGCCUUUUCAUUGUUCUUUACCAACUAAACUGCAAGCUUUCACUUCUUUGAUGUCUGUAAAUUCAUAUAUUUUCUUGUGUUACUUUUUUUGUUAUAUGCCGAAAAAAUUACCUUCACUUUAUUUAUUUGUGAAAUUAGAACUAUUAUAUUAGAUAUUUAUUGCUAUUUAGAAAUUUUAAUUAUAUAUCUCAGGUAGAUAUGGUGUCAUAAAGCUAAAUCACUGCCUGAAUUGUUGGGCCCGGUGCUUGGCAACAAAUCAUCUUGUAUUACUAAAUAUGCAUUGAUUUGCAGGCCAAGUUUGUUAAUGUAUUGAUUUCUCUCUUUCUUUUGAAGCAGAUUGGCUCUAUUACUUGAAUUUUGGCAGCAAUUUAGUUUGUUAACUCUUUGGGUAGGCUAUGUUGUGUAAGUCUAAGUCAUAGGAUUAGGUGCUUUUUCUUACUGAUGAUUGAAUUAUUGAUUGGGAACAAUGAAUAUAGCUGGCUCAGUGACAUCUUCCUAUGUGACUACAGGUAGAUGGAAUACAUAUUUGGAAUCACAACUUACAUAAAUAGAUGAUGGUUUUCUUGACAAACUGAUUGCAUGUGGAUUUUCCUUAUCCUUGGAACUACUUUUUACAGAAACUUACAAUAAUAUCUAGGAACAAAAAAAGGUCCCUGUCAUUUUUAUUGUGAGAAUUGAUUCGGCAGUCUACGUUUCCAACUCCAAUUGCAUGAAUGCAUGUACUAAUUAUUAAACUGAAAGAAACUAAUCAAGCAAAGGUACCUGCAAGGGUGGCUCAGUUGGUUGAGCAUGGGGCUUUCAUAAUAGAGGUCUCAGGUUUGAAACCCCCUGCCUACAGCAGCAAGGGCCUUCUGGGUCGAGCUUGUCGCAUGGGACUUGUCUAGUACGGGUUAUCUUUUCUGUGUGGUUUGCGAGCUAUUGCACAGGAGCUGGGUUUACCUAGUGCGCACCCAAAGGGGCCUGCGGGUUCCCAUGUCAUUAAAAAAAAAAAAAAUCAAGUAAAGGUUCGAUAGAUGAGAUGUCAAUUACUAUUACAUACUAGUGAAAUUCAUGCCUUAAAAGAUUUAUUCAAAUUUCCUGAUCAAGAAAUGAUAUGUUGAAG